UACAGAGGGGGCAAGCGUUAUUCGGAAUUAUUGGGCGUAAAGGGCGCGUAGGCGGCCUUGCACGUGGCGGGUGAAAUCCCUCGGCUUAACCGAGGAACUGCCUGCCAGACUGCAAGGCUCGAGACCGGGAGAGGUGAGUGGAAUUCCCAGUGUAGCGGUGAAAUGCGUAGAUAUUGGGAGGAACACCAGUGGCGAAGGCGGCUCACUGGACCGGAACUGACGCUGAGGCGCGAAAGCGUGGGGAGCAAACAGG
rnacentral:rRNA from 1 species